UGGGGAAUAUUGCGCAAUGGGGGAAACCCUGACGCAGCGACGCCGCGUGCGGGAUGAAGGCCUUCGGGUUGUAAACCGCUUUUGAUUGGGAGCAAGCUUUCGGGUGAGUGUACCUUUCGAAUAAGCGCCGGCUAAAUACGUGCCAGCAGCCGCGGUAAUACGUAUGUUGCGAGCGUUAUCCGGAAUUAUUGGGCUUAAAGGGCAUCUAGGCGGUAAGACAAGUUGAAGGUGAAAACCUGUGGCUCAACCAUAGGCUUGCCUACAAAACUGUUGAACUAGAGUACUGGAAAGGUGGGUGGAACUACACGAGUAGAGGUGAAAUUCGUAGAUAUGUGUAGGAAUGCCGAUGAUGAAGAUAACUCACUGGACAGAAACUGACGCUGAAGUGCGAAAGCUAGGGGAGCAAACAGG
rnacentral:rRNA from 1 species